rnacentral:rRNA from 1 species
GGUCGUAAAGCUCUGUCCUCAAGGAAGAUAAUGACGGUACUUGAGGAGGAAGCCCCGGCUAACUACGUGCCAGCAGCCGCGGUAAUACGUAGGGGGCUAGCGUUANUCGGAAUUACUGGGCGUAAAGGGUGCGUAGGUGGUUUUCNUUAAGUUCAGAGGUUGAAAGGCUUACGGCUUCAACCCGUAGUUAAGCCUUUUGAAACNUGGGAAACNUUGAGUUGCAGGAAGAGGGAGAGUUGGAANNUCCNUAGUUGUUAGCCGGUUGAAAUGCCGUUAGNNUNUUAGGGAGGGAACACCCAGUUUGCCGAAAGGCCGGCUUUUUUGGAACNUGUAACNUGACACNUGAGGCACGAAAGCCUUGGGGAGCAAACAGGAAUUAGAAUACCCNUGGUUAGUUCCCAAGGGGCCGAAAANUCCAGCCACACUUGGCCGGCCCGUUUACNU